rnacentral:rRNA from 1 species
ACGACCCCAGGUCAGGCGGGACUACCCGCUGAGUU